UACGAAGGGGGCUAGCGUUGCUCGGAAUCACUGGGCGUAAAGCGCACGUAGGCGGCUUUUUAAGUCAGGGGUGAAAUCCUGGAGCUCAACUCCAGAACUGCCUUUGAUACUGGGAAGCUUGAGUCCGGAAGAGGUGAGUGGAACUCCGAGUGUAGAGGUGAAAUUCGUAGAUAUUCGGAUGAACACCAGUGGCGAAGGCGGCUCACUGGUCCGGUACUGACGCUGAGGUGCGAAAGCGUGGGGAGCAAACAGG
rnacentral:rRNA from 1 species